rnacentral:rRNA from 1 species
GAUGAACGCUGGCGGCGUGCCUAAUACAUGCAAGUCGAGCGAACAGAUGCGGAUCUUUCUCCUCUUACGUUAGCGGCGGACGGGUGAGUCACACGUGGAUAACCUACCUCUCAGACUUAGAUCACUUCGGGAAACCGGAGCUCCUACCGGAUAAUCUUUUGACCCGCAUGGUUCUAUAGUGAAAUAUGGUUUUUCUGUCACUUCUCGAUGUAUCCGCUCCGCAUUAGCUAGAUGGUAAGGUAACGGCUUACCAAGGCAACGAUGCGUAGCCGACCUGGGAGGGGGAUAGGCGACACUGGAACUGAGACACGGACAAGACGCCUAAGGGAGGGAGCAGUAGGGAAUCGGAGGCAAUGGGCGAAAGCCUGACGGAGCAACGGCGCGUGAGUGAUGAAGGUGUUCGGAGCGUAAAACUCGGUUAUGAGGGAAGAACAAAUGUGUAAGUAACAAUGCACGUAUUGACGGUACCUAAUCAGAAAGCCACGGCUAACUACGUG